AGCCAAAGCCAACGGCAAAAAGAGAAUCCAACGACAUGGCACACACGCGCGCAUUAACGUCCAGCUUUUGCGAACAAUUAAGGGCACAAUUAGCUAAUUAUCCGAGGGUUAAGUGCAGCAUUAUGCAAGUAACGUGUCACGCGACUGUUUUGCUCAACCGUUCAUCGUCUUCAAAGAUAAUUCUUGCUGCUGCGGUUGGUGUACGACGUUAUGGAUGAGCUCAAUGACGCCAGACAAGACGGAAUAAAGGAUGAGAUGGAUGAUUAGCUACCAGUGAAGAGCUGCCAAAGAGCAAGGCUGAUGUGCAUUCAAAAGAGUGUACGUGCAGGGCUCCCGGAUGAAAAAGGCUGAAACAGAUGAAGAAGGAAGAGGUGGAGAAGAAGGAUCAGCGAGGAAGAAGCCUUAAGGAGCAGUAGAAGGAGCUGCGAUGAAAGUUCCAGCCGCUGAGAAGGAUCAGCUCAUGCAGAGCAGCAGAGAAAGAUAACCAAGAAGAGAAGGGCCACGUGAGAAAAUUUGUUUAUAGACUGACUUGAAAUUUAUUUUAAAAGUUUCCCCAUUGAAGUCUAAUAUACUCAUUAGUUUAUAUUUUAUAUUUCAAGAGGAUUGGGCACUAUAAAUCUGUGUUUUUAAAAAAACUGUACUGAUCCUGGCUGAGCCCUCACUUUGUGCCGAGUGUGUCUGCUGCUCGAGGCUAGCUCGAACUCUUCGAAAAGCUCGGUACGCACUCAAGAAGGGGUUCCAACCUGGCUCUCUCGCAGGGAGGGUGGUGGUUGUGGUUGAAACCACAACCACCACCCUCCUUGCCAAGGUUAGAGCGCGAGAGCCAGGUCGGAAUCUCUCUCGAGCGCGAACCGAGCCCUUCGACGAGCUCGAGCAGCAGAUGCUUAGUCGGCUCAAUUUACUAUAAGUAAUUAAAUGAGCAGACCUAGUAAUUGGAAACUAAUUUUAAUAGAAUUUGUAUGUUAUUAUCGUAAAAUCCACUAUACUAUGCUCAAGUUUUUAAACUUUGAUGCCCUUGUUCUAGUUAAAUGGAGUAAA